UUUUAGUUUUGCUUUGUUCUGUUUUGUUGUUUUCCUUGUUGUUGUUUUGGUUUUUUUCCUGAGCAUGAGCCAGAAAACAUACACUAGAAUCUAAUAAAUACUGAAAGCCAGCCUGGGCUAUUUUGGGUUGAUGCAUCUAUAGUGAUAUUUUGCACUGAGUAUUUAAUUAACACUUCUCUUUGUGAAUAAACCAGAAUAAAACUGCCUAAUCUUCCAAGAACUGAAUUUGUUCUCUGCUGUUAUUGGCACUAAAAAUUAAUAAAAUAUUAUUUUAGUCUGCAGUGUAACCUUAAAUAUUUCUCAAAGAAUGAAAGGAGCCCACCUGGCAAGGGAAACCAUGUAUUUUACCUUUGUCACAAAGAUGUAUUUAUAUUAAACCAUAUAUUUGGCCUUCACUGUUCUUCUGUUUUUUCAUUUAUAAACCACAGACUUUCUUGGCUUUGGAAAGCUAUUUGAAAAGGUGGAUAUAAAUUCUUCAAGAACAGCAAAGAAAGAAAUGUUUCUUCAUUGGGUUUUUGUUUACAUUAAUUUUCUUCUGCUCCAUUUCCCACAUGUAUAUCUUGAUUUUAAGGAAUUUUCUGCUAGUGUUACUCAGUUGUUUGAGGGUCUUUACCUUAAGCAUUUAUUUAUCUAGAUGUCAUUGAUUGAAAAAGCAGGGAGAUGUCCAUAUGCAAGGGAGUGAAUGUGAAAUUAUGAAAAAUGAGAGGAUGAUAAUCCUCCUUUUAUAUUCUCCUGACCUGAGGGGUCAUCUUACCUUUCCCCAGAUAAAUUAUAAGCAGGCUGUGAUAAUAUUAACAAAACGAGUUUAUCGUAUUGAGAGUUUAUCAUUCGCACAGUCUUUAAGAUCCAGGUAGGCUGAAGAGAAGUCUGCCUUAAACUCAGGGUUUUUAUGUAUUCCUGAGAGAGUAACAAGUUUACUCUGUUGGUAUAAUAGCAUAUCCAGUAAAAUAUAGCAGCAGAGUUCUCUUUAUACUUGUGAUACAAUGCCUCUGGCUUAGUAUAAAGUCAUUAUGCAGUACACCCAGUUUACUGAAUUCUGGAAGCUGAUAACAAUAAUUAAAAUACUACCUGACAAGUAGUAUUUUAUUAUGCAAUCCCACAAUGCUUCUGUGAGUUGUUAGGCACACAGCCAACUGCUUUGAACCACCUGGAAGAAUUAUUUUUACACCUACAGUGGAUAGCAUUAGGAAAUGGUCUGAUGGGCUUGCAGAUCUGCAGUUAUCGCACACUAAUCACACUAGUAAGAUUUCAUCUCCUGAGUAACUAAACUGAUAUUGAGUUAAGUGAUAAUGACCAGGGGUGAAUAUUGCUGUUGCCUUAAUGACUGAUGGAGCUGAACACAUGGCCUGAGGCUUAACAACAGGCUCUUAGUCAGCAGGCAGAGCCCCAAAUGCAGCUGUGGGUGUUGUUAUAAGCUGAGACUGGUUGCAGGUGUUUCAGGUUUCAGGAGGAAGGGGAAGAAAGAGCACCAUCAUCAUAUAGGCAUAGGGUAUGCCUAAGGAAUAUGGUCUGCAUGAGCAGUAUGUGCAAGUGUGCUUAACAUUUCACAGCUAUAAAUACCUGUAAAUUUAUCUGAAUAGCUUAUAAUCUCUUUUUUAAAUAAUUUUUUUUAAGUCAAAUUAUUUAAACUAUCUUAAGAGAUUACAUUUCCAAAAAAUGGGAUAUCCUCAGUCUGGAUACUUCAUCCUCUGAUGUCCAGUUUAAUCGAUUAUUGCCUUGAUUUUCAAAUUUAUUUAUGUACCUUUCCCAGACUUUACUCACACUGGGACUAACCUGGGACAUGAUGAAGUCACAGCAAAAAAUCACAGUUGUUUUACUGGGAUGAUAGUUCUUGUGUGGUGGUUUUGCAGCUUCAAGAUACUGCCAGGUUAAGAUUUAUAGUAUUUCUCUAGUCCAGACCACAAUAACUUCAUUUUUUGUCUUCAUUGCAACCUUAGGAACACCAAAAAUGAUCUGUCCUUUUUUUACUGCUACUUAACAUUGCAUACAUGUACAUUAGGUAAUGAACAUACUGGGAUUUCCCAACCAUAGCUAUGACAAGUUAACUUUGAAAAUACACCAUGAGUAUUUGGAGUAGUCAUGUUCUCUGAGAAAAACACUAAACCUGUGUCUCUAAUUAGGAAAGAAUUUUUUUUAUAUACUCACAAUAAAUCUUUCCUAAUUUAUGUUUCCUGUGUUUUCAGGAGAGAAGGAGGUGGUGUUCAGAGCAAAAGCCUAACUAGGGUGCUGUGAGAAGCACAGUCCAGGAGGAUCCCUUUUCCUCCUCUUGUUAGAGUGGGAACGGAAUAUGCUGAACCAUGCAGGACACUAAAUCAGAUGCCAAAAAAAAAAAAAAGUUACUUGAAAAAAAUAAUUUAGGCUUAUCAUGUUAAAUUUUGUGUUGUAUAUAGAAAGUAAUUGAGUUACUAGUUUUGCAUGAAGGCUGAAGUAGUUUUGCUUGCUCAGUUGAUGACAAUUCAUUGCUUCUUAGAAAAUACUGAGUGUCAUUGGUACACGUCCUGAUGGGACUCCCCAGUUUAGUGCUACCACUGAGACUCUCCAAACCAUUUUGCUUCUUGCUUGCUCCCCUUCCUCCUCCCCCUGCACUGGAUGAAGAGGAGAAUUGGAGGCAAAAUAGGUAAAGGGUUGAGAUAAGAACAAUUUACUGGAAACAGAAAUGAGAUAAGAAAACAAACACCAACAGCAACAAUAUUAAUAAUAAAAGUGUACAAAAGAGAGAGUGAUUCAGUUGCAAAAUGCUCACUGCAGAGCUUGACCUGACCACAGCCACACCACCUUGACUGCUCCAUCCAACUCUUUACCAGUGCCACUCAACUACUCCCUCUGGCUCAGAGCCAGCGCUACCCACUGUUCCUCUGCCGUGCUUCCUCGGCAGGAAAGAACCCCUUCUCUUUAGAAGAGAGUCCCUUUCCUCUGCCCCUGGCAAUGGUGUGAAGUGGUCUAGAAUAACCCCCAAGUUCUAGACAUGACCUCUCCUGGCUACUGCAAAAGUUAACCCUGUCCUGUCUGGAACUAGGGCAGUAACUGAAGAGCAUAAACACUUUGUCACUUGUUCAGUGGUUUUACUGCUGCGUUUCAUCUAAACUGUCCAAUGAGGCGUUUGAAGGAAAAUUGAUUUUCUGUUCUUAGUAAGUGAAGGGCCUUUAAGCAGUUUUGCCUUGAGUGUUGCCUCUGGAACGUCGUUCUCAACAUUUCAGAAUGCAAAUUGAGAAAAUGCAUUAACACAAAAUUCAGAGAGACACUGUGAUCAUGACAGUCCCACGCUCUUUGAAACCCAUCUGGAAAGAGAGCUCGAAUUGCACAAGUCUUUGCCAUUUUCUAUAACACAAAAGGGAAUUUGUGACAUGCAGUGGUAAUUUCAGUUGCCUGGCUGACUGGUAGGCCAGAUUAGGUGCUGGCUAACAAUGGCUUUCUCUUGCACAAGCCUUGGUCUUGUGGAUUAUGGCAGAGGGACCACAUGGUGAUGCAAUUUGAUUUCUCACCUGUGACCAUAUAUCAUAAAAUUUAAAAAAAAAAAAAAAUUGGGAUAACUGAUCAAUAUCUGGGCUGCAAUAAAAAUAGGUCAGUGAUGCAGGCAUAGAGUUUGUGAGCCCACACACAGGUUGGAGGUGUACAAUAUUAAUCUGUCAUUUCAAUCAGUCGUGUGAGGGAAAAACCUAUAAAAGAUGUUUAGGAAAUCAUAAACCUGGAAAACUUCUGUGUAACAUUUAGUAAGGAAGGUGUCUGAAUGUAUAUUUAAAUGCCACAUAAAAUCUCCAUCUUAAAGAAGACACUUAGCAGAAGUCUUUGGGCAAACUUCAUUCAUGGAAGUUGCUGACAGCAAAGUGAAAGGGUAAACGGCAAAGGGCAUCAUCUCUAUAGAAACACUGUCACCAGAGGUUUACAAACCAUGUUUCCAAGAGCAGAGCUGGACAAGUUAAGUGGACCUAUCACAAUUCUCCCAGCUUUAGAUCUGUCAUGAGCUAUGCUGCUUCUUGCUUCCCUGACAGCUUAAAAGAAAUGCAGCCUGUAACUACACUGUUGCCAGCCCAAAGAGACUUCUCUUGGUUAUCAAAAUGUUUGCCACAAUGUGUAACACUGGAGAGCACAGACAAAAUGCCCUGCUUUCUUGUUUUAAUUCACUGUUGUAACCCUAAGGGAAAGUGCUAUCCAUGAAGUUUUCCAUGAAACAUAAUACAAGAAUGGGUUGGGGAAAAAAAGACAAGUGAAGAUUUUCUGUUGUGCUACUCUCCUUGGUGGUGUGGUGGACUUAAAAGCUGGUUUAAAACCAGAGCUCUGUAGCUGGCUGCAGAAGACAAACAUAGUCUGUACCACCUGGCUCUGAAGAAAUUUCCACUUUGAUUGCUUAUAAGCAAGUUGCCUUGAAAGGUGCUAUACCAUCAGCAGCUGCUGCCAAAUGUGCUCCUUCUCUGGAAGUUUCAGGCUUUUAGCACUAGGACCCCAUCCAACUGAAGGGUCAGCAGUGAUGAUAAAGCAAAGCUAACAAUCAGCUCAGCUAGACAGAGUAGUCUCUAGGUUAGGAAAAUUGCUUUUCUCAAACAGCAACAUUGAAGAUUUCAUUUGCAUUUUUUGUUUUCCUUGCGUUUUAUCUGGACCAGAAAAAUGGGGGGCCUUAAGACUUCUAAUGCAUACUUUGUUAUGAAAAUAGGUAAGUAUUGCAUUCUUACAGCAUCGGUCUUGUACAAAACAGAAUACUAUCUAUUACAAAAUUCCGUUUCUUUGCCUCCUAAAAACUCACCAGCAUUUUCACUUUUUUUGCUGUAGUGCUUUGAGUCCUCAGACUCCAUUAGUCCUGUCUCUUAUCUGAAGGCAAUGCUGGAGGAUGGCUGAACUCCCUCACACAGCACAGGGAGGUGUGCCAGAACAGAUUGCAAGGAGAGUGAUGCAGCACAACUCAGCUCCCUCCUUCUCUCAAGAUAGAAACUGGGCUUUGAAAACAAUAAGCCUCUCCACUAGGCAUGCUCAGAAGCUCUCCCCCACUGCUGAUUCCUGCUGGCAUCCACUUACUGCCUGGAAGGUGCAACAAGCCAAGCCCCAGCUCUUUUCUGAUGUACCUGUCAUCUUUCUAUGGCAGAACUUGGAAAGAGAGAUUUUUGAGAAGCCUGAUACAAGGAGCUAAGAGCUUACCUGUGGUUACUAGCAGAAAGGAAUACUGUCUGUUUAUUUCAACACCUGAGAAAAAUCAAAGCAAUCCUAACAUCAUGGUCACCAUAAAAAGAGCUCCUGUUUUCAGACUUCAGAACUGGACUGACACUGCUCUCCCAGGAGGAGCUAGGCAGGUGGCUUCUUGGGCAGCUGGCUUCCAGAAGAAUGGACUUGUCCUACCCUGAACAGUCAGUUUGCCCUCUGCCAACGCACACAUCUCUAUCAUCCCACUAAGCUUUUAUAAAGGCUGUUCUUUUCUGAGCACAGAGAAGCAUCCUCUAAACUCUAAAACACUAAGGAGCUGGAAGGAUCACAAGCAUGUUAGGAUCUCAGUCCUGGAGAUAACCAAGCUUGGUAGCCCAGAUUUGUUUCCAAUUGCAUAGGCUGAUCAGCAGUGAAAGUGAAUUGUCUUCAAGAGCACCUGGUAUCCCAGCUCCCCAUUUGUAUUUUCAUAGCUUUAGGGGUUUUGUAAGCAAACAUGAUGCUUUGCAAUGAGCUUCAAAAGCAAAACACAGAGCUGAAUAAUUCAGGCCCCCUGUUUUUAUUACUUUUCAGAAAUGGCCCCAUCUAUAUGUUUCACUACUAAUUUACAUUCCACAAGAACCCUUUUGGCUAUACAAAGGUCCCACAAAACUUGAGGUCACAAAGAUACAGCUUCCAGUUUUUCUCUUAUAAGCAGUCAAAGGUGCCCUGCCCCCAACAGUAUUCACUCCCUAAGGUAUUCUUCUGUGCCCAAAAAUAUCUCAUUUAAAAUCCUGUGUGGGAAAAAUAUUAAGAUCUGAAAGACUACAGGAGACACAAUAUCUGCAGAGGCCUGUGUGGAUUUCAGGUGAGAGCUGGUCCCCUUGUUCAUCACUUAGAUGUAACCAAAGGCAUGUAUUCUAUUACCAUCUGUUAAAACCAGGUGGGGCAGUGUUCUUUAUCUCUUCCACAACCCAUCAUCCCUCCAA